rnacentral:rRNA from 1 species
AGCAGUCGCCACGGGAAUACGGAGGGUGCAAGCGUUAAUCGGAAUUACUGGGCGUAAAGCGCACGCAGGCGGUCUGUCAAGUCAGAUGUGAAAUCCCCGGGCUUAACCUGGGAACUGCAUUUGAAACUGGCAGGCUAGAGUCUUGUAGAGGGGGGUAGAAUUCCAGGUGUAGCGGUGAAAUGCGUAGAGAUCUGGAGGAAUACCGGUGGCGAAGGCGGCCCCCUGGACAAAGACUGACGCUCAGGUGCGAAAGCGUGGGGAGCAAACAGGAUUAGAUACCCCUGUAGUCCCUGUCUCUUAUAC